AUGAGUGGUCUACACAAGAGAUCUACAAGGCUGAAGAGGUGGGUCUUGUUUAGGAAAACUGAUCUGGAAGCGUCACGUGUGGUCAAAUUUACUGUGGCCAGUGAAGAGCUUGGAGGCCAUGUGGAGAGCGCCUGGCUGUGGAUGCUGCUGCUGUUUCGUGGAGGUCCUGAGUGGGGCCUGUCUGCUCUUGCUGGUGACUGUCCUUAUCACCCUCCUCAGAUACUUUCUAGAAUUUCCCGUCAUCAUGGAAGGAUUUGGCAUUCUCCAAAGUGCCAACAGCACCUCUGUCCCUGGGGAGUCGUGAGCCAAGGUGACUCCAGGCAGGUCUGGACUCAUCCACCAGCAGCCCCUGACAACUCCGGAGAAGACCCUCAGCUAAAGCCACAACCACAGUAGAGCCAGAUACCCUUGACAGAGGCCCCAGAGCAUUUGGCGAGCCAGCCUUUAGCAACUCUGAGCUCUCUAUCUGAUUCUCUAGGCCCUUGACCUCCGGCCAUUCCUAAGCGACUUAGAGAAAAAUACUGGGCUAGGAGUUUGAGGACCUGGCAUAGUGGCAAGGGUGCAGGCCCAGAUGCGACCCUUGACUUUGCUAUUCACCAUGUGACCUGGGUAAAAUCACUUCUUCUCCUUGAGCCUCAGUUUCCCACUCUGUCAAAUAAGGACCUUAGUUGGCCUCUAAGGUUCCUAUAAGCUCUGAUUUUCUGUUACCAGGUCCAUGGCAUGAGGGCUAGCCUAAGCAGGCCUGAGGGCCUUUCUGAGGGACCAGGCAGAUAGGCAACAAACGUUUAUUUUUGUAGGCAGACAAAAAUACUGGGGACUGUGCUAAGUGCUGGCUCUGGCUUUUAGGACUAAAGUUCUACCCAUCCUACCAACUCAGCUUGGAUUCUAAUGAUAAAAGGAACCCAGAGCCCUUAGACUAGGGCCAAUGAUGCCCUAGAGAUUCCAGGGACAAGGUAACUAUCAAGAGAAGGGUGGUGGUCAUUGGCCAAGAGUCUUGGCCUUGUGUUGGCUCCAGUGCCAAGUAGCCCCUUGUGCUUUCUAUUAGGGAACCCUAAUGUCCUCCUGGUCCUGAGGUUGGGGAAAUGAGGGAGAGGGGAAGCUGGGCUCCUCAGGGGACUGACAUGCCCAUGACCCGACUUCUUCCUUACAAGCCCUGGUCACGGCCUGGUAACCUCACCCCCAGCUCCAUGCCUCUAACACUAUCCAGGCCUGCUAAAUUCAUCGCUCAGGCUCAUCCUUCUCUCCUCCCAUCCGAAUCUCCCCUUCCCAAGUAGUCCUGCCUCUCUUCAAGGACUGUUAUGUAUUGGUGAUUCCUUGUCGAUCUGAAAUAGCAUAAGGGAAAGGGACUUGGGCCUUCUAGGGUGGAGGGAUCAGUCCUCUACUCCAAGGCCAGCCCUUCAAGCCAAAGGCCCACAAGCCCACUCAUGGAGCCUCUGGGGUGACGGGAAAAUGAAUCAAAAAGGCACAACUAAGAUGAUACACACAGAAAUAAGCGCAAAUCAAUGGCUUAUAUGUGUACUGAGGAGAAAUGAUUAAGAAGCCAGAGAGGGGAGGUGAGUGAGGGAAGGAGGAAGGUCCAAUGGUCACAGGCCCUAGCUGAUGCUAAAGCCAGAUUUUUGGGCCAUGGCCUCCCUCUCUUGGCCACUUAAUGUAGUGCAUCUUGGGAACUAGCCCAAACCCACAAAGAGCCAGCCAGGAGAGAAGGCCUCAGUGGUUCGGGUCACAGCUGUCUGGUGCAUUUCCUCAGCAUUCUCAGACUUCUUGGUAUUAACAGCAUGCUCUUUUAUUCUCAAUUAGACAGCUUGGAAGGGCUAUGAGCCACCCUGGAGGAUAUCUGGACUGCUUGAACAGAAGUUUUUCCUACCUUUAUCAACUAGGCUUGCUACAGGCAGUAAGCUUCCUUCUUGCCCACGUUCUCUCCCCAAACUAGGAUGGCUUGAGCAUUUAUGCCAAUGCACUUAGGGUUUAAACAAAGGGAGAAGGCUGCCAAACAGGGAAGAGGUGGGAUCGUUCUGUCCUCUUCCUUACAUUUCCUGUGAAUCUACUUUUCCAAAAAAUCAACAGAUCAAGGCGUCAGACACUCAGGAUUCUGGAGCAACAAGAAGGGGUACAGAGGGCUGGGAAGGGAGAGUGACAGGGAAGGCAUGUCAGUAAUGCAGUUAAGGUCAUUCAUACCUGAGUGUCUUUCGAAAACCCCCAUUGGCCAACAUGACGAAAGACAAAAAUGAUAAACAUGAGUAUCUGUGGGAGCCAGGCCCUCUCAUACAUUGUUGGUAGAGCUAUAUAAUUUGGGACGACUGCUUUGGAAAAUUUUGAAUUUUACUAGGCACAUGCUUCUAGGUCAUCAAAGUCAGAGGGAAAGGUCCCAUGCAAAUCUCUCUCUAUACAUAUCAAUAUGUAUUAUCAAAUAUAUGUAUGUGUGUAUGUAUCUAUCUACACAGAUAAUCUUCCCCCCUCAUUCAUUCAGUGAGCACUUUUGCACUGGUCAAGAAAUAGAUGUAGGAGCAGCCAGGUAGCUCAGUGGAUAGAGAGCUAGACCUAAAGUUGGGAGGUCCUAGGUUCAAAUCUGGCUUCAGACACUUCGUAGCUGUACGCCCCUGGGCAAGUCACUGAACUCAAUUGCCUAUUCCCUUGCCACUAUUCUAUCUUAGAACUGAUUCAAAGACAAAAGGGUUAAAAAAAGAAAAAAGGAGCUGCAAAGUGGGUAAAGCUGAUUAGCCAAAGGCAGACUAAAUUGUGGCAUAUUAUUGUGCUGGAAUAUUGAGUCAUAAUGAGGAACAUGAGGAAUUUGGGGAAGCUUGGGAAGACUUGUAUGAAUAAAGCUAAGUAAGCAGAACCA
ensembl:lncRNA